CUGCAAUGAAGCGUAUCAGCAGGCCGCUGCGCAGUGGAAUAGGCAGAAUACGGCCUACAUGGCGUACAUAGGAGAAAUGAUGAUCUCUAUGUCUACUGGUACACCGCCACCGGCUCGAGUUACCGUGGCGGGGGACAUGCCUAUCAUGCCAUCGAAGGCAGCUUUCGCUGCGACUUACUACGGAUCCACACCGGAGGGAACGGGAUGGUCCGGGAACCAGGCAUCGCCGGGUGGGCGCGAGGUCACACCGGUUCAUGAAGGUGGUCGGUCUCCGGG